rnacentral:rRNA from 1 species
GACGUAGGAGGCGAGCGUUGUCCGGAUUCAUUGGGCGUAAAGAGCUCGUAGGCGGUUUGUCGCGUCUGCUGUGAAAACCCGAGGCUCAACCUCGGGUCUGCAGUCGAUACGAGCAAACUAGAGUGUUGCAGGGGAGACUGGAAUUCCUGGUGUAGCGGUGAAAUGCGCAGAUAUCAGGAGGAACACCGGUGGCGAAGGCGGGUCUCUGGGCAACAACUGACGCUGAGGAGCGAAAGCGUGGGGAGCGAACAGG